ACGUUGAAACUCAGGUUCCCGUACGAUCAGCGAAGUUAAGUGACGUCGGGACUGGUCAGUACAUAUUGAGAUACCGCUUGGGAAUACCACGUGCUGUAAU